rnacentral:lncRNA from 1 species
GCGCCCCUGCCUGGUCUUGAGAAGUCAAAGGUCUCCAGGAGCCCUCCGCCUCCCUGUUUUUUAUUCACACACCCUAGCCUCACACGUUAGGAGUCUCCCCAACAGACCGUGAGCCGGUGUCGGGAGGGUGGAGGUGGAUGUAGCUCACCGCCACGCUACCACAGAAGAGCGAAAGCUGCUUUCUCAGCCACCGGAGAGCACGAAGAAGAAGAUAUACUGGCAACUUCUAGAAGGAUUCUACCAUUUUCUUCUUUACCAUGAACAAACUUGAAAAUUAAUGGCAGCAAGUUAAAAGGAGCAAACCUCUGUCUGCAUGAAAGAGUUUGAAGAAAAAGCAAAUCACCUCUCC